rnacentral:rRNA from 1 species
GACGAACGCUGGCGGCGUGCUUAACACAUGCAAGUCGAACGGUAAGGCCCUUCGGGGUACACGAGUGGCGAACGGGUGAGUAACACGUGGGUGAUCUGCCCUGCACUUCGGGAUAAGCCUGGGAAACUGGGUCUAAUACCGGAUAGGACCACUGCCUGCAUGGGUGGUGGUGGAAAGCUUUUGCGGUGUGGGAUGGCCCGCGGCCUAUCAGCUUGUUGGUGGGGUGAUGGCCUACCAAGGCGACGACGGGUAGCCGGCCUGAGAGGGUGACCGGCCACACUGGGACUGAGGUACGGCCCAGACACCUACGGGAGGCAGCAGUGGGGAAUAUUGCACAAUGGGCGCAAGCCUGAUGCAGCGACGCCGCGUGGGGGAUGACGGCCUUCGGGUUGUAAACCUCUUUCAGCACCGACGAAGCGCAAGUGACGGUAGGUGCAGAAGAAGGACCGGCCAACUACGUGCCAGCCGCCGCAGUAA